GCGUUUGGGUCUGACAUACAGAAAAGACAGCGGAGUAGCUCUUACUGUAGGGGGCGCUCGUGAGCUGACUUUUGUUCCUCUGUUGGUGUUAAUAAAGUUUUAUGUCCGUAAUGUUUUGAUCUGAUAAAAAUGGCCAGUGUUUUUUUCCGGCUCAGAGUCUUCUUAAAACUGGACCAAAAGACCUUCCUUAGGGAGCUUUAGGAUUCAACUUCAAAACAAAAUAAGUUUGUAAAGGCUUUGUUAACAUUAGAAGAUAAAGGAGGACUUUGACGCUAAAAUCACCGAGAUAGACGGACGGAGAGACGUCAUCAAUCAUCACAAGUAAAAAUCAUUCACCGGUGAAGAGGAGCCCCCCCACCCUGUUGAGGUUUCUUUGUGGAGAGGUAGUUCCUGUUUUCCUGGACGGGCCUUCUUGGCGGCGGCAGCAGAUGCUCUGCACGGCGCUGAAGUGAGGAGCAUCGUCAUCAUCACCAGCUGAGCUUUGGUUUGGGGGUUUCUAACAUCAGAGGGCAGAGGUGAGGUCACCGGAGGAGUUUGUUGCACUGAUGGUUUGAGCUGCCGGAAAGCCGUGACCUCCUGCAGAACCCGCGGAUCCUGCAGACGCAGCCGUGAAGUGCAGGAGAAUAAACUUUCUUUGACCCCCCCCUCCCUCACCUGCAGUGAACCGUGAUGGGGCCGUCCUGUCCAAACUGCUCCUUGGUUUUGUG